ACGAAGUCGCUCGACCAGCGACAUGUUCCUCGUGUAUCCGCUUGCGACGCGAACAGCUACGAACGACAGCGACGAUGACGACGACGGCGGCGACGGUGAGUGACCGCUAAGUAAUCGGCAAAAUAUUCGCGAAGGCGGCACCGCGACCACCGGCUCUCACCUUGGGAAAAACGGCAGGCAUUAAGGCAGUUUAAAAUGUACUGCCUGGCGAUAUCUAAUCUCUCGGCCAAGAUGACGACGCGCGCCGAUAGCUGUUGAUAAGAAAGAAAAACCGCACGCGACUAGCACCUGUCGCACCGUCGCUCUCGCGCAAACUCAAGCCGCGCGGCCGUUCAUCCAUGAUCCUGACCUCGCUCUUGCGACUAGUGCCUCCUGGUGAUGCGCACUCUUACCUGAGAGUGUCCUGCCGAUGUAUAGCAGCACGCAUAUCAGGGCGACCAGCACCAUGAAGAGGAAGGCGAGCAGCACCGUCGUCCCACGCCGAGUGGAAUCUAGCAGUUUCGGUGCGCAGUUCUUCGUCUCGUGAAGUUCGCGGCUCACAUUGCCUGACAGCAAUAACACGAAGACUCGGAAUGAAUUGUGGUAAUCACCUUCGCGGCACUGCAUCCUAACAAUGUUGCGCACGAACACCUUCGUAUUCUUCAUCCACUUGACGAGCGGGUUGAGCAUGCAGGAGCACUCGAAGGGAUUGCCGGAGAAGUCCACGGACACAUCAGCCCCGCGGUCCUUGGCGAGAUUGUCCAUGGUGUGCAGAUCGCGCUCGAGCACUCUGAAAAACCUGUUCCGCCGCAGAUCCAGGAAGCGCAAUUUGUGCAGGCACGACAGGUUAAAGUGCAGCGCGGUCAGCGCGUUAUCGCCCAGAUAGAGAUCCAUGAGAUUCGGCAGGUCGCAGAACACGUUAACAUCGCGGAACUCUGAGAUCUCGUUCUGCUCCAGGUGCAGUUUUAUGAGGCGCGUCAGGUUACUGAGGAGAUCAUUGCCGUGCCGGGAAUUAUCCAAGGCCUCGUUUUGUCGAGAUGUUAAAAUCAAUCACGUGAUAAAAUCGAAAAGACAUACCUGUUGACGAAGAUGUCGUGAAGCGUCGACGCCAGAUUCCUCGGCGGGCCGUCCUCGAAGGCGUCGGUCAGGUGCAGCUCGAGGAGGGACACGAAAUUCGAGAACACUCGGGGAUGACUUCUCGCUGGAUCCAGUGAGAGCUCGUUGAAGUCGAGUAUGAGCCGCUCUACAUGCUGAACGUGAUGAUACGCCUUGCCGCGAAUCUCGCGUAUUUUAUUGUUCGACAUAUCGAUCACCCGCAGGUACGGUAGGCUGUCCAGGGUGCCGAACACGUUCCACGGUAACUCCUCCAGGUCAUUGCCCGUGAAGAUGAGCACCUGGAAGUGGAAAUGUUAACGGUAAAAGCAAAAAAAGGAACAAUUGCAAACACCUCAAUCUUAAUUUGACUGUCUACGUACUUGCGUCUCAUUAGGCAAAUGCGACAGCGGGGAAACGUCGUGGAAGCCGGUGUUCGUGCAGUUUACGAUGUACUGAUGGUGACCGUCGUAGCACGCUCUGAGACAGUGGCAACGAUUCUUAAACGCCGGGCCGCACUCAAGCCUGGACGACUCCGACGUCUCCAGAGAAUGGAAAUUGGGAUCUUCGCAGUCGCUGAUCGACUUGACGAUCGACGCGCAUAUCAGCACGAGUGUCGAACGGAGAACGACGGUUUUCAUCGUGGCUCUGGAACACAUCGGUGUGUGAUUUCGCGACAAUUCCAGCGGCUGAACGAUGACUCGGCGGUGAGGAGGACCCGAAACUUACGUUUACGAUCAUCCGAGCAAAAGUGCCGCACGAAAUCCGUUAUGUCAGCAGAAAGGAACCUCGCGCAUCGCGCUGCCAAUCUACAAAUUCACACACCAGAGUUAUUCAAAACAAGUUAUUGAACCAUCGAGAUUCGAAACGCGAGCAAUCACAUCUGCGCAAAUCGUCGUCAUAUAUGCCGACGAUUUAAAGUAUCAGUUUCGAAGUAGGUCGCCGAGUCAUACCUCGCGGGAAACGUCAAACUGGCUCACCCACGCGACAGGUGUGAUAUCAAGCGUUGCCUUUUCGCCUCGAGUCUCCUUCGGACGUAAAACGAACUCGCUUGAUCGCGCAACGCGACUCGACUGCAAGAUGAGACUAUCUUUAGAGAAAAGAUAACUAUAGAAAAAAGAAAACAAAGUAGGGUGUGAUUUUGUUUGAUAAUCCUAAAUAAACGAAGAUAACGCCUAAAGAGGGAGAAAGAGUAAAAGAGAGAGGGAAGGAGAAGUAGAAGACAGCAAACACAGUUAGCAAAUUUGACCUUCGAAUUUUUAAGCGACGUUUUAAUCUUCUCCUGGAAGAGUCGUAUAGAAUGAACUAACUGUGUCUAUUUUUCUAUUAUUUAUUUAUUUAUUUAUUUAUUUAUGGAGACAAUAUCCUCUUAUAUACCUAGUAAAGACGGAAUAAAUAUCUAUAAAAUUUUACAUAUAUCACACAAAUAAGUUGCCAAUUAUAAUUAAAGAUUAUCACUUUAUAAAUUUCUUGGAAUGGAAUCUUAAUUACAAAACGAGUGAAAAAUAACAACAUUUUUACUUGUGAUAAUGAAAAUAUUACUAUUCGAAAUCACAAAAUAAACGUUUCACUUAAAUCAACUUCGGACUUUAUACGGAGCGAAUAGUUCAGUUAGAGUGAAUUUGUACCUGUGAUUAUACAUCAGAUUAAAAUACAUCAGAUUCACUCUUCAAUUUCAAAUGAAAAUGUUUGCUCCAUAAUUCGCAAGUCGAGAAUUCACAUUAUAUAAGUAAAAAAUUAUUUAUUUCUCUAUCUAUAUUGUUUAUUUCU